UCCGUAGGUGAACCUGCGGAAGGAUCAUUACUGAUUUGCUUAAUUGCACCACAUGUGUUUUUCUUUGAAACAAACUUGCUUUGGCGGUGGGCCCAGCCUGCCGCCAGAGGUCUAAACUUACAACCAAUUUUUUAUCAACUUGUCACACCAGAUUAUUACUAAUAGUCAAAACUUUCAACAACGGAUCUCUUGGUUCUCGCAUCGAUGAAGAACGCAGCGAAAUGCGAUACGUAAUAUGAAUUGCAGAUAUUCGUGAAUCAUCGAAUCUUUGAACGCACAUUGCGCCCUCUGGUAUUCCGGAGGGCAUGCCUGUUUGAGCGUCGUUUCUCCCUCAAACCGCUGGGUUUGGUGUUGAGCAAUACGACUUGGGUUUGCUUGAAAGACGGUAGUGGUAAGGCGGGAUCGCUUUGACAAUGGCUUAGGUCUAACCAAAAACAUUGCUUGCGGCGGUAACGUCCACCACGUAUAUCUUCAAACUUUGACCUCAAAUCAGGUAGGACUACCCGCUGAACUUAAGCAUAUCAAUAAGCGGAGGA
rnacentral:rRNA from 1 species